GAUGAAGAACGUAGCAAAAUGCGAUAAGUAAUGUGAAUUGCAGAAUUCAGUGAAUCAUCGAAUCUUUGAACGCACAUUGCGCCCCUUGGUAUUCCGAGGGGCAUGCCUGUUCGAGCGUCAUUAUAACCCCUCAAGCUCGGCUUGGUGUUGGGGCCUGCCGCACGGGCAGCCCUUAAAAUCAGUGGCGGUGCCAUCUGGCUCUAAGCGUAGUAAUUCUUCUCGCUAUAGAGUCCCGGUGGAUGCUUGCCAUUAACCCCCAAUUUCAAUGGUUGACCUCGGAUCAGGUAGGGAUACCCGCUGAACUUAAGCAUAUCAAUAAGCGGAGGA
rnacentral:misc_RNA from 1 species